rnacentral:rRNA from 1 species
CAGCCGUAAACUAUGCUCGCUAGGUGUCAGGCAUGGCGCGACCGUGUCUGGUACCGCAGGGAAGCCGUGAAGCGAGCCACCUGGGAAGUACGGCCGCAAGGCUGAAACUUAAAGGAAUUGGCGGGGGAGCACAACAACGGGUGGAGCCUGCGGUUUAAUUGGACUCAACGCCGGACAACUCACCGGGAACGACAGCAAUAUGUAGGCCAGGCUGAAGACCUUGCCUGAAUCGCUGAGAGGAGGUGCAUGGCGUAGACGUCU